GCCGGCACAGUGGCGCGUGCCUGUAGUCCCAGCUACUUGUGAGGCUGAGGUGAGAGGAUCGCGUGAGCCCAGGAGUUCUGGGCUGUAGUGCCACUAUGCCAAUCAGGUGUCCUAACUAAGUUCGGCAUUAAUAUGGUGACCUCCCGGGAACGGGGUACCACCAGGUUGCCUAAGGAGGGGUGAACUGGCCCAAGUCGGAAAUGGAGCAGGUCAAAACUCCUGUGCUGAUCAGUAGUGGGAUCGUGCCUGUGAAUAGCCACUGCACUCCAGCCUAGGCAACAUAGCAAGACCCCAUCUCUA
ensembl:misc_RNA Metazoa_SRP Metazoan signal recognition particle RNA